AGUCAAGUAAUUAAGUGCAUGUGGUGGAUGCCUUGGCAGUCAGAGGCGAUGAAAGACGUGAUAGCCUGCGAAAAGCUCCGGGGAGGCGGCAAAUAUCCUUUGAUCCGGAGAUGUCUGAAUGGGGGAACCCACCUACUUUAAGGUAGGUAUUGCAACAUGAAUACAUAGUGUUGCAAGGCGAACGAGGGGAAGUGAAACAUCUCAGUACCCUUAGGAAAAGAAAUCAAUUGAGAUUCCCUCAGUAGCGGCGAGCGAACGGGGAUCAGCCCAUUAAGUUAUGUGUGUUUUAGUGGAACGCUCUGGGAAGUGCGAACGUAGAGGGUGAUAUUCCCGUACACGAAAGGGCACACAUAAUGAUGACGAGUAGGGCGAGGCACGUGAAACCUUGUCUGAAUAUGGGGGGACCAUCCUCCAAGGCUAAAUACUCCUGACUGACCGAUAGUGAACCAGUACCGUGAGGGAAAGGCGAAAAGAACCCCUGUGAGGGGAGUGAAAUAGAUCCUGAAACCGCAUGCAUACAAGCAGUGGGAGCACCUUCGUGGUGUGACUGCGUACCUUUUGUAUAAUGGGUCAGCGACUUAUAUUCAGUAGCGAGGUUAACCGUAUAGGGGAGCCGUAGAGAAAUCGAGUCUUAAUAGGGCGUUUAGUUGCUGGGUAUAGACCCGAAACCAGGCGAUCUAUCCAUGAGCAGGUUGAAGGUUGGGUAACACUAACUGGAGGACCGAACCCACUGUCGUUGAAAAGCCAGGGGAUGACUUGUGGAUAGGGGUGAAAGGCUAAUCAAGCCUGGUGAUAGCUGGUUCUCCCCGAAAGCUAUUUAGGUAGCGCCUCGGACGAAUACCAUAGGGGGUAGAGCACUGUUUCGGCUAGGGGGUCAUCCCGACUUACCAAACCGAUGCAAACUCCGAAUACCUAUGAGUACUAUCCGGGAGACAGACUGCGGGUGCUAACGUCCGUAGUCAAGAGGAAAACAAUCCAGACCGCCAGCUAAGGCCCCAAAAUCAUAGUUAAGUGGGAAACGAUGUGGGAAGGCAUAGACAGCUAGGAGGUUGGCUUAGAAGCAGCCACCCUUUAAAGAAAGCGUAAUAGCUCACUAGUCGAGUCGGCCUGCGCGGAAGAUGUAACGGGGCUAAAACUAUGUGCCGAAGCUGCGGAUGUAUACUUUGUAUACGUGGUAGGGGAGCGUUCUGUAAGCCGAUGAAGGUGUGUUGAGAAGCAUGCUGGAGGUAUCAGAAGUGCGAAUGCUGACGUGAGUAACGACAAAACGGGUGAAAAACCCGUUCGCCGAAAGACCAAGGGUUCCAGUCCAACGUUAAUCGGGGCUGGGUGAGUCGACCCCUAAGGCGAGGCCGAAAGGCGUAGUCGAUGGGAAAAUGGUUAAUAUUCCAUUACUUCUGUGUAAUGCGAUGAGAGGACGGAGAAGGCUAAAUCAGCCUGGCGUUGGUUGUCCAGGUGAAAGGAUGUAGGCAUGUAUCUUAGGCAAAUCCGGGGUACUCUAUGCUGAGAUCUGAUAGCAAGCUGUACUUGUACAGCGAAGUGGUUGAUGCCAUGCUUCCAGGAAAAGUCUCUAAGCUUCAGUUACACAGGAAUCGUACCCGAAACCGACACAGGUGGUCAGGUCGAGUAGACCAAGGCGCUUGAGAGAACUCUGCUGAAGGAACUAGGCAAAAUGGUACCGUAACUUCGGGAGAAGGUACGCUGUUGUUGGUGAUGGAACUCGCUUCCUGAGCUGACGACAGCCGCAGAAACCAGGCCGCUGCAACUGUUUAUUAAAAACAUAGCACUCUGCAAACACGAAAGUGGACGUAUAGGGUGUGAUGCCUGCCCGGUGCUGGAAGGUUAAUUGAUGGGGUUAGCGUAAGCGAAGCUCUUGAUCGAAGCCCCAGUAAACGGCGGCCGUAACUAUAACGGUCCUAAGGUAGCGAAAUUCCUUGUCGGGUAAGUUCCGACCUGCACGAAUGGCAUAAUGAUGGCGGCGCUGUCUCCAGCAGAGGCUCAGUGAAAUCGAAAUCGCUGUGAAGAUGCAGUGUACCCGCGGCUAGACGGAAAGACCCCGUGAACCUUUACUGCAGCUUGACACUGAACUUUGACCUUACUUGUGUAGGAUAGGUGGGAGGCUUUGAAGCUGGAACGCUAGUUCCAGUGGAGCCGUCCUUGAAAUACCACCCUGGUAAUGUUGAGGUUCUAACUCUGUCCCGUGAUCCGGGACGAGGACCGUGUCUGGUGGGUAGUUUGACUGGGGCGGUCUCCUCCUAAAGAGUAACGGAGGAGUACGAAGGUGCGCUCAGCGUGGUCGGAAAUCACGCGUAGAGUAUAAAGGCAAAAGCGCGCUUAACUGCGAGACCCACAAGUCGAGCAGGUACGAAAGUAGGUCUUAGUGAUCCGGUGGUUCUGUAUGGAAGGGCCAUCGCUCAACGGAUAAAAGGUACUCUGGGGAUAACAGGCUGAUACCGCCCAAGAGUUCAUAUCGACGGCGGUGUUUGGCACCUCGAUGUCGGCUCAUCUCAUCCUGGGGCUGAAGCAGGUCCCAAGGGUAUGGCUGUUCGCCAUUUAAAGAGGUACGCGAGCUGGGUUUAGAACGUCGUGAGACAGUUCGGUCCCUAUCUACCGUGGGCGCUGGAAAUUUGAGAGGAUCUGCUCCUAGUACGAGAGGACCAGAGUGGACGAACCUCUGGUGUACCGGUUGUGACGCCAGUCGCAUCGCCGGGUAGCUAUGUUCGGAAGGGAUAACCGCUGAAAGCAUCUAAGCGGGAAGCCUACCUCAAGAUAAGAUUUCCCUAGGACUUUAUGUCCUCUAAAGAGCCGUUCGAGACUAGGACGUUGAUAGGUUGGAUGUGGAAGCAUAGUGAUAUGUGAAGCUGACCAAUACUAAUUGCUCGUCAGGCUUGACUAUACAACACCC
rnacentral:rRNA from 1 species